GAUGAAGAACGUAGCGAAAUGCGAUAAGUAAUGUGAAUUGCAGAAUUCAGUGAAUCAUCGAAUCUUUGAACGCACAUUGCCCCCCCUGGUAUUCCGGGGGGCAUGCCUGUCCGAGCGUCAUUACAACCCUCAAGCUCAGCUUGGUGUUGGGCCCCGCCGCCCCGGCGGGCCCUAAAGUCAGUGGCGGUGCCGUCCGGCUCCGAGCGUAGUAAUUCUUCUCGCUCUGGAGGUCCGGUCGUGUGCUCGCCAGCAACCCCCAAUUUUUUUCAGGUUGACCUCGGAUCAGGUAGGGAUACCCGCUGAACUUAAGCAUAUCAAUAAGCGGAGGA
rnacentral:misc_RNA from 1 species